AGGCAUCUGAAACGGAAGCUUCCGGCACAGCACUUCCGGUUCCGGUUCCCAGCGUCGACUAAUAGGCCAGGAUCCAGCGUUUGAGGCUGGAGGUUGUGGUGUCUGCAGGGUCGAGGCGUUUGGAGCUCCAGCCAGGAUGAUCGAGGUUGUUUGCAACGACCGUUUGGGGAAGAAGGUCCGCGUUAAAUGCAACACUGAUGACACCAUUGGGGACCUUAAGAAGCUGAUUGCAGCCCAAACUGGCACUCGUUGGAACAAGAUUGUCCUUAAGAAGUGGUACACGAUUUUUAAGGACCACGUGUCUCUAGGGGACUGUAUCCUUUGUGUGACUUCCUGAGGAAGAGCAUACAUACCCAGCCUUGG